UACGAAGGGGGCUAGCGUUGCUCGGAAUCACUGGGCGUAAAGCGCACGUAGGUGGCCAACUAAGUCAGACGUGAAAUCCCUCGGCUUAACCGGGGAACUGCGUCUGAUACUGGAUGGCUUGAGUUCGGGAGAGGGAUGCGGAAUUCCAGGUGUAGCGGUGAAAUGCGUAGAUAUCUGGAGGAACACCGGUGGCGAAGGCGGCAUCCUGGACCGAUACUGACGCUGAGGAGCGAAAGCCAGGGGAGCAAACGGG
rnacentral:rRNA from 1 species